rnacentral:other from 1 species
CGGGCUCUGCCCGGUGCGUUGGGACAAGUAUUCCUGGGGCCAAUAUCGAUCUGUAUGGGAGCUGUCCCUGCCGGAACCGUGGUUCCGAUCACACGGCGCCCACCUGCUAAAGCAGGCCACAGUGGAUCGAAGUACUAACGGCCACGGCGGUACCCGC